GACGAACGCUGGCGGCGGGCUUAACACAUGCAAGUCGAACGGAAAGGCCCUGCUUUUGUGGGGUGCUCGAGUGCCGAACGGGUGAGUAACACGUGAGUAACCUGCCCUUGACUUUGGGAUAACUUCAGGAAACUGGGGCUAAUACCGGAUAGGAGCUCCUGCUGCAUGGUGGGGGUGGGAAAGUUUCGGCGGUUGGGGAUGGACUCGCGGCUUAUCAGCUUGUUGGUGGGGUAGUGGCUUACCAAGGCUUUGACGGGUAGCCGGCCCGAGAGGGUGACCGGCGACAUUGGGACUGAGAGACGGACCAGACUCCUACGGGAGGCAGCAGUGGCGAAUCUUGCACAAUGGGAGGAAGCCUGAUGAAGCAACGCCGCGUGCGGGAUGACGGCCUUUGGGUUGUAAACCGCUUUCGCCUGUGACGAAGCGUGAGUGACGGUAAUGGGUAAAGAAGCACCGGCUAACUACGUG
rnacentral:rRNA from 1 species